rnacentral:rRNA from 1 species
AAUGAACGCUGGCGGCAGGCCUAACACAUGCAAGUCGAACGGGUCCUUCGGGACUAGUGGCGGACGGGUGAGUAACGCGUGGGAACACGCCCUUUGGUACGGAAUAGCCUCGGGAAACUGGGAGUAAUACCGUAUGUGGUCGAGAGACGAAAGAUUUAUCGCCAAAGGAUUGGCCCGCGUUGGAUUAGGUAGUUGGUGGGGUAAUGGCCUACCAAGCCGACGAUCCAUAGCUGGUUGGAGAGGAUGAUCAGCCACACUGGGACUGAGACACGGCCCAGACUCCUACGGGAGGCAGCAGUGGGGAAUCUUAGACAAUGGGGGAAACCCUGAUCUAGCCAUGCCGCGUGAUCGAUGAAGGCCUUAGGGUUGUAAAGAUCUUUCAGGUGGGAAGAUAAUGACUGUACCACCAGAAGAAGCCCCGGCUAACUCCGUGCCAGCCGCCGCAGUAAAAC